GAGAGGGCUGAGAGCAGUGCCUUGGAAAGGAAGAGGAAUGUCCUCUGCUGCCUCAUCACCCGCAUCCUCAAGGCAGAAAAGCAGCUGCACAUCGACAACCUGGUGUUUAAGGUGAUUGAUGCCUGUGAGAAGGGUGAGCUGGGGCCAGGUCUGCAGUUCCUGAGCUUCUGCUGUCACAGUGUGGAUGUGCUGUCCUGUGUCCUGUACCUGCUGAACCAAGGCUACCUCCGGCGCCAGGAUGAGAGGCCUCAUGUCCUGGAGUACGUCUCUGCUGAGCCCCCACCAGCCCCAUCCCAGGCCCAGGCCCAGCCCCAGGUUGCCUUCCAAACCGUAGAGAUCAAGACAGCAGCAAACCCAGCCUCUGCUGAAAGGAGACAGACAUUCUCCACCUUCCGGUAGAGAAGGACUGAGCUAGCAGGGCACAAGCUGAGCCCAGCCCAUUACUUCUUGAGGACUUGGGGCUUUACUGGGAAUAAACUUGGUCCCAUCUG